rnacentral:misc_RNA from 1 species
GUCAAUGCAUUAUUUACGAACAGAAAAUAAACAUAAGAUAAGAAAAAAAUGCAUAAAAUCUAAAGAAAACGAAAGGAAUACUACAUGUCGGCCACGAGGUUCAGGUGUGCAAUCGGGUGUAACGAAAUCGAAGGGUUUAUAUACCAGGUAUCUGUGUGACGGUUCUAUUUACGAGCGGUGUUUAGCUUUAAGCAACGUUUUAGUUUGAGCCCAUAGAUGAACAAAUUGAGAAACGCGAUGUUAAAUUCAUUCGACGAUCUAUUUUAGUCCAAUGUAGAGGAAAUCAAAUGUUAUAUUGACCUCCUAUGUCAUGUGCAGGUGAAUAUAGUUGGAUAUGAGGUAAUCAGAGAGUUAGGAAUCAAUCAAUAAUACGAUAAUUCUAUAUUUAGGACAAUAUUGUAUUUGUGAUCUACCAAUGAAUUUGUAUAUACUUCGAAAAGCUGAGUUAAAAAAUUUUCUUUAUUUUUUCAGCAAAGCCUCACAGUUUAAUUAUUUACUAAAUAAACUGAUCAUAAACUGCACUUUCAAAUUCUUCACAUUGUAAUGCUUAUUAAGAUUAAUGCAAUCAAUUUUUUCUUGAAUUUUUUUUUUAUUUCAGAAAGCAAAGAGGAGAUCUGCAGCCUUGGAGGAGCUCAGUUCAAAAGGGUGGAAAAAUGAAGAAACAAGAGCUCAGAUUAAAAAAAUCCUAAAAGUUGAUUUUAUGUCGAGCGAUGAGGAGUGUGAUGAUGGUUUUAUCACACAUCCUCCUUCUUGGCAAAACGAUACCUUCGCCAGGUUGAAAACAAAGCUCGAUACAGUGUAUCUUGAAAUAUGAUCUAAGAAAAGUAAAAGGCUCUUACAAAAAAGAACUGUAGGAUCAGCCAAUGUUAAGGCAUUGCCUAAUUAUCCAGAAGAAUGCUCCUGGAUGAUCAAAAAUGAUUAAAAUUGUAAAUAUAUAUCAAUAAUGAAAUAUUGCAGAGAAUUUCGUUAGGUGUCCAUUUUUUACAAAAAAAAAUUAUGUUGAUCUUUUGAUAGCUUACUGGGAUCCUACACUUCUUUUAUCGCCUUUUUUAUUUGAAAUAAAAAAAAUCAGCUUUAAGAUAAAUUGCUUUGAUUGGUUUAGAGAUUGUCAUAAUUUAUUUCAUAAAAUUUUGUCAAUAUUCAGGCAGUAAUAAUAUUGUACAUAUAUGUUGUAAGGUUUAGGAUAUUCAUCAUAUAUGUUAGAAGAGCUGUAAAAUUUUCAAUUCUGAAUAUAUUCAGAUUGAUAUACUGUCUUUCUAGCAGAUCUUUUCCCGGUGAUAUACAAAAUUUUCGUCUUUUUAUGUAUGUAUUUCUUUGUCUGUGAUAUAUGAAUAAUUCGGUUGCUUUGAAUGAAAUAAAACAAUUUGAAAGUGUAUAACUAUC